AUCUUGUCUGCCCAGCUUCCCGUAGCCAUCCUCGCCUGCCUUCUCGCGCUGUUUCUAGCUCUCGCCAUCCCUCGGCGUACUCUUCCUCUCCUCCGAGUCAGAGUACCCUGGAGGGAUAAUGCUCUGCAGCACUGGCUAGAACUUCCAUCCCUGUGGUGAAUAAGAGUGAUGAAAGUGGACACCAUCGUAUUAUUGAAUUGAAGGGAUUCAAACCUCUUCUGUGAUAAUCAUAGAACUGUAGCAUCAGAAGGCAAUUCCCUAAGUGUGGUCUGCCCACAUCCCUGGUGCCUGGAUUCAGUCCCUGGAAGUGUGGUAGCCACCUCUGUGAGGAUGAAAGGAAUAUGCUGAGUGGCAGAGCAGAAAGCUAGACGAAGCCUGGUCCCUGUUGCCUUCAUUUUGCAGGUACUGUAGCCCUGCCUGCAGUUGAGCCAUUAU
rnacentral:lncRNA from 1 species